UACGAAGGGGGCUAGCGUUGCUCGGAAUCACUGGGCGUAAAGCGCACGUAGGCGGAUUGCUAAGUCAGGGGUGAAAUCCUGGAGCUCAACUCCAGAACUGCCUUUGAUACUGGUGAUCUUGAGUCCGGGAGAGGUGAGUGGAACUGCGAGUGUAGAGGUGAAAUGCGCAGAUAUCAGGAGGAACACCGAUGGCGAAGGCAGUGAUCUGGGCCGGUGCUGACGCUGAGGAGCGAAAGCGUGGGUAGCAAACAGG
rnacentral:rRNA from 1 species